UGAAUAUAGUUUAUAAAAAUUCUAGUCUGUGAAUCUAGAGAUGAAAGCUAAAAACU
rnacentral:tRNA from 1 species